GGUUGCAGUCGGUCGGGGGGUGUUGUUUGGUGCAAGUCAACUGUUUGUUCGAUUGUUUUCAACGACCUAUCAACUACGUCCUGUGUGACAUCCGACAAAGGAGUGCAAUUAAAAGGAGCAAACGGCACACAACAGCCGGCAUCAAAACGGCAAACGGUUUACAUCCGGCGUUCCGUUACCAACCAGCCUAUGGAGCCCCUUCCACAAAGGCAAGACUUGUUUGCUGCGAUUGGUUCUUCUCCUUGAUGGUGCGAAGAUUGAGAACGAAAAAAACAUGAAUCAUCCUCAUUCGAUAUCCGUUGCAGAUACGUUUGGUUGCGGCGGCGGAACACAAACAUUGAAAAUGCAAGCGCCAUUCCGAGUACUGAACUAGCGCCCUAUAAACUACACCACCAUACACACCCAUUCGCAAGAGGAUAAAAAACGCCGAAAGUGCGUUUUCUCGCUCCAUCUCUGACCCCGACCGCGAUUGUCAGAGCGGUACGACAAUAAACAGUGUGUUUUCUUGGCCCCGAACGAAAACUACUUCCACUGGCUAAAAUUAGCUGCAGGAAACAAAACCAUCCGCACCAGAGAGACCACCAUCAUCUUGCACCGAUCGAAAAGUGGCCAAGAAGAACCCACACACCACCAACGCCCGUAAAGAUAUCCACGCGUACAACAAAAACACACCAGGCGAGCAACUUUCUUUCCUGCUUUCUUGCGGAAAAGCGCAACAACAUCGCGCCACAUGGCAAAUGCUGGACUAGCUGGCUAAUUGCACCGCCAGGUAGCUGCGGCUCACAGAACGAUGCGAACGAUAGAACAAAAACUUCGGCUACGAUGGUGUUCCGAUCACCUUUGCAUCACACAGCUUGUAGGGAACAUGGGCGGAACGGGCUGAUACGAUGGCACAAACCCUUUUCAAUUACUGGAUUAGAAGACGACUCGCAAACAUUCAAUUUUACUGAAACUAUGAUCGGAUAUACUUCUGCUGCUGCUGCUGCUGCUGAUUCUGGGUGGUGAUCUUUUGUGAACUGCUGUACGGCAAUUUUUAUCUUUCCAACGGUCGUAACACACAUCUGUAGCUGCAAAUCUCAGGGUGCCAAUCAAUCGAUCGCACCUCGUACGAAGAGACAGCCGCAAACAAGCGGCGGCAAGUAAUCACGCCACCCGAAAGCUACCUGUUUGGCGGACGUAAAAUAAUACAACACUCGAAGGAAAAACAGUCACACCACCAGUCACGAACGCACGCUGGGAAACACACGGCAGCUGGCCAGAGCGGGAGCGUGAAGCGAGGCGAAAAACGAAUCCCACCACAUUCCCACCAAACCGGUAGGCUAACCAGCAUGAAAUUUGCCAAAUGCAGUUAACAGAAACUCACUAUUUAACGCUGGGUUUCGGCGAAUCAAUCCUUCGGGCAGGAGCGCGAACUUAACACGUCCGAACUUUUCAAGCGCUACUAACACAGUACGGUUCGAGCUCAAGAUACGCUAUAUUGUGUGCGGUCGGCACACUGGAUCGUUGCGGCACCAUUUGCUGGCCAACUUUUAAAGUUGUUCGUUAAAUGUUUGACAGAUCCGGUGGGGCCAACACUGGUGAUUGAACGCACGAUUGGGAAUUGGUAAGUUUGUCUUAAGUACCCCAGGAAAGUAAACAGAUGGACGGGAUCCGUUAGAACUAAGCUGAAAUGCUUACGUAGAACGUA